rnacentral:rRNA from 1 species
AUUGAACGCUGGCGGCAGGCCUAACACAUGCAAGUCGAGCGAGCGGCGGACGGGUGAGUAAUUUAUGGGGACUGCUCGCUAGGGCGGGAUAACUACUGGAAACGGUCGCUACUUCCUCAUACUAUCGGAUGACCCAUAUGGGAUUAGCUAGUAGGUGAGGUAAUGGCUCACCUAGGCGACGAUCCCUAGCUGGUCUGACAGGAUGAUCAGCCAAACUGGGACGGAGACACGGGCCAGACGCCUACGGAGGCAGCAGUGGGGAAUAUUGCACAAUGGGGGAAAGCCUGAUGCAGCCAUGCCGCGGGUAUGAAGAAGGCCCUAGGGUUGUAAAGGACUUUCAGGCGGGAGGCGUUACCGACAGAAGAAGCACCGGCUAACUCCGUGCCAGCCGCCGCGGUAAUUC